rnacentral:rRNA from 1 species
UACGUAGGGGGCGAGCGUUGUCCGGAUUCAUUGGGCGUAAAGCGCGCGUAGGCGGCUUCGUAAGUCGGCCGUGAAAUCUCCAGGCUCAACUUGGAGGGGUCGGGCGAGACUGCGGAGCUCGAGGUGGGCAGAGGGCAGUGGAAUUCCGGGUGUAGUGGUGGAAUGCGUAGAGAUCCGGAGGAACACCAGUGGCGAAGGCGGCUGCCUGGGCCUGGCCUGACGCUGAGGCGCGAAAGCGUGGGGAGCGAACAGG